rnacentral:rRNA from 1 species
UUUUGACCUCGGGAUCAGGUAGGGAUACCCGCUGAACUUAAGCAU